rnacentral:hammerhead_ribozyme from 1 species
GCUGACGAGUCCAAAAUGGGACGAAACGCGAGUCC